CUAGACUGGAGUAGCUCAAAUCUCAUAACUCAUGUCCUCUUUCUCUCAAAAAUGCUGCAACACUUACCUUUCCCUUUUAAAUCAUGAAAGAGGCAGAAUUCACAGAGUUAGUCAGGUGUCUAGUGCAUAGAACAUUGACCAAGAUAGUGGGAUAGCAUGGAUUUUAUGACUGUGUGCCCUGAGGUGACCAAUUUUCUAGAUAAAUAUUCUGACUGCCAAACAGGGUCAGAGUAGGAAUAAGGGGCAACAUAGCCACCUCUGCAAGUGUUAGUGACCAGAAGGACCAAACCAGAAGAGAGAGAAUGUUCCUGCAAUCUUAUCUGGAAGAUGUGUUUUGCCAGGAGGGAGCAGAUGUGGAUUCUGGCUCUUGUUUUCACAGAAUUCAGAGUGACUAGGUUGGAAGAGACGUUAAAGAUCAUAAGAGUCCAACCCAUUUUGACAGGUAUUUGAGCUGCUGCUUGAUCCCAGCACCUCUGUCUUCAUGAAUUACUCCAUUUAGCCAUUAGGAUAAUGGUUUGUAUUUUACAUUUAAUGUCUUCAAAAUUGUACCCCAAGAGCAAUAAAGGUUUUAGGGAAAAAUAGGUAGAUAAAUCUUAACCAUCUCUGAAUUCUUGAUUGUUUCAGAAAUAUGAACACUUUUCCAAAUGUUAAUAGAGCUUUAUGUAAGCAAUUACUUUUCGUAACAACUGUUCAGCCUCCUAGGGAAAUUAUGCAUAUUUUGGUUAUAGAAAACAUCUUGGAAAAUACUGAAUGAUAGAAUUAAGUAUUAAGAUAAAUCAUUGAAAAUACAGUUACAACAUAAAAUUAGAGAAAAGUACAGAGUUCAAUACAUCUAUUUUAUAGCUUGCUUUUUUAAUAAUGAAAUUGCAGUCAUUUUGUGGUAAUUUGAAUUAAAAUAUCAUAAAUUUAAAUACUAAUCUGCAAUCCCUUUAAUUGCUUGAUUUACCAACCUGUGAUCCUGAUGGUAAAGCCUAAGGUCGAGAUUUUGUCCCUGUAAAUGUCACCCAAGUUAGGACAUACAUAUGAACUCACUGUUCUUCCAACGCUGACCAUGGGGUAAACGCUGUAAAUGCAGUCCACAAGAACAGCCCAGGAUGAGCAGCGUCUCAACAGGACGCAGCUGACAAAGCACACUAGGAUUCAAAGACAACUUCCUUUCCUGAGUCGGUGGUCUUAUGUUAUUUCUAGGACAUUUUGAGCAACUGCCAUUGUGCAUAAAGAGGUAGUGCAAACAAAGUACACAAGGUAUAAAAUAUUAGUUUGUUAAGAUAAACAAAAGAUGGUUAGGAUUUCAUAAACAUUUGUAUCCUUAUCACCUCAAGGUAUUUUUACUAGCCAGGGAAUUAUUAGCCAAAAGAGGAGAAGUUUCUAAAAUCUCCCUUGCAAGUGAGAGGAGAAGCCUGUAAUUUGUAUUUCUUCAACUUUUCACAGAACUGUUCAUACGGUUUCUACAAAAGAGCUUCAGUGAUGAGUAUUCUCUCUGGCUCAUUUGCCUCUGAAAGCUCUCUGCAGAAAGGCACGGAGUGCUCCAAAGAGAUGGAGUCAGACUUAGGGCUGAUAUUUUGCAAACACAAAAAUAUCCUCAAAAAUCCUACUCUCUGUCAGUCAGCAGCCUUGACAGAAGUGAUAGGUGGGAGAAGAGAGAGGAGGAAAGACUAAUUUUUCUCUGUUAUUGCUGAAAUUAAUUAGUGAAUUUAAGCCAGACUGUGUCAGAAAAUGUCACCACAUGCAAUUGUAUUCACCUUUUUUCUCUUUUUUCCUUUUUCUUUUCCUUUUUUCUCUUCUCCUUCUCUUUUUAGUUUUCUGUGUAUCACUAUAAGUUUGAAUACCUGUAUCACUCAGACACUGUUGAAGUUUGCAGCUAACAUUAAGAUGAAAUAUUAGUAGGCUGGAUUAUUCUGUAAGUUAAUGGAUUUGUUUUGCAUCAGGGGCUAAGAAUGUUUGUACUUGAUAUUAUGACUUUGGAAAGAUUUAUAUCCAAGCUUAAAAAAAAAAAAAAAAAAGAAAAAAGAGAAGAAAAGAAGAAUGAUUGUAUUUUUAAAUGAAUUCCCACCUGUUUUUUGUUUCCAGAUAGCCAGCUUAUUUGAAGAUGCACACUUCAAGCAAAUAUGAGGAGUGAAGAGUGCCUUUACCAUGGUCUUGGGGCAAUUUGCACAAAAUCUCCUGAUGCUAGGUCACAAGAUGCCAAUGAAUGCAAGAAUUCUCAGCCAUCACAAAACUUACUAGGAAGAAAAAUAGAUCUGCCGACACAAGACCAGAAGAAGCCCUUCUCAGAUGCUGCGCAUAAUCUUUGUAAACUUCACCUGCUUUAGAGGACACUUCCAUCCUCUCCUUUUACAGAUUAUUAAGAAUGCCUUUGUUAUUUUCUCUUUCAGUUUUAUUGGUUUUAAUUUCCCUGCUUCACUCUAUCAGUAGUUUUAUUCUAUACAUUAGUAGACUGUGAAAUACCUUGUCUUGUUACUUCCAUACUUUCUAAUUGCAA